rnacentral:rRNA from 1 species
CACGCCGCGUUGAGUGAAUGAAGGUAUUUCGGAUAUGUAAAACUCUGUUGUUAAAGAAGAACAAGGAUAGGAGAGUAACUGCUCAUCCCCUGACGGUAUUUAACCAGAAAGCCACGGCUAACUACGUGCCAGCAGCCGCGGUAAUACGUAGGUGGCAAGCGUUGUCCGGAUUUAUUGGGCGUAAAGCGAGCGCAGGCGGUUCUUUAAGUCUGAUGUGAAAGCCCCCGGCUCAACCGGGGAGGGUCAUUGGAAACUGGAGAACUUGAGUGCAGAAGAGGAGAGUGGAAUUCCACGUGUAGCGGUGAAAUGCGUAGAUAUGUGGAGGAACACCAGUGGCGAAGGCGACACUCUGGUCUGUAACUGACGCUGAGGCUCUAAAGCGUGGGGAGCAAACAGGAUUAAAUACCCUGGUAGUCCACGCCGUAAACUAUGAGUGCUAAGUGUUGGAGGGUUUCCGCCCUUCAGUGCUGCAUCUUACGCAUUAAGCACUUCGCCUGGGGAGUACGGCCGCAAGGCUGAAACUCAAAGGAAUUGACGGUGACCCGCACAAGCGGUGGAGCAUGUGGUUUUAAUUUGAAGCAACGCGAAGAACCUUACCAGGUCUUGAUAUCCUUU